AAGUGUUACAGCUCUUUUAGAAUUUGUCUAGCAGGUCUUCUGGCGUUUGGCGUCGGAAGACCCCC
ensembl:snRNA U7 U7 small nuclear RNA